AACGUAGGUGGCGAGCGUUAUCCGGAUUUACUGGGCGUAAAGGGUGUGCAGGCGGGGUAUCAAGUGGUGUAUGAAAGGGCGCGGCUCAACUGCGCUAGGUUAUGCCAGACUGAUGCUCUGGAGGACCAAACAGGGCUGUGGAAUUCCUGGUGUAACGGUGAAAUGCGCAGAUAUCAGGAAGAACACCCGUGGCGAAGGCGGUUCUCUGGGACGGUACUGACGCUGAGACGCGAAAGCGUGGGAGCGAACAGG
rnacentral:rRNA from 1 species